GGGUGAUUAGCUCAGUUGGUAGAGCGCUUCGUUUACACCGAAGAUGCCGGGAGUUCGAGUCUCUCAUCACCCACCA
rnacentral:tRNA from 1 species